UUCUAAUGGUGAGUGCACUAGUGUGUACGGUUACAUAUUGUACAUGACCUAAGAUGAGUCAUGAGGUAAGGCUAUCAGGUAGUCAUUCACCAAGCUACUAUGUUUUAUUGUUUCUAAACCUUAAGAAAAUUCUAAGUUUAUGUCAAAGUUCACAAUGGCUUUGACUUAUGGGUAAUAUUUUAAAUCACAUAUUCCCUAUGGAUUCGUCAUUGUUGUUGGAAUUCAAUAACAACAAAUAUUCUCAACAGAGGCAUUAUGAUAUCUCAUGAACUUUGAGACAAUGUUUCCCCUUAGAUGAUCUUAAGGAUAUGUGUUCAAAUAAACAAUGCUCAUAGUUCUAAAGCUUCUUGUAAGAUUCGUUUUCUUGAACCAAAGGAUGUCAAUGGGAAGAGGAAGCAAAGGAGUUGUAGCAUUUUUUGUAGGAUA
rnacentral:lncRNA from 1 species